GCAUGUGGUGUAGUGGUUUGAGCACUGGACUAUGACUCCAGAGACCAGGGUUUGAAUCUCCGCUCAGCC